rnacentral:rRNA from 1 species
UACGUAGGGGGCAAGCGUUGUCCGGAAUUAUUGGGCGUAAAGAGCGUGUAGGCGGCCAGAUAAGUCCGCUGUGAAAUCUCGAGGCUCAACUUCGAGCUGUCGGUGGAAACUAUCUGGCUAGAGUCCGGAAGAGGAAAGUGGAAUUCCCGGUGUAGCGGUGAAAUGCGCAGAUAUCGGGAAGAACACCCGUGGCGAAGGCGGCUUUCUGGGACGGUACUGACGCUGAGACGCGAAAGCGUGGGGAGCAAACAGG